GCCUGCUCCGUGCAGCGGCCCCCAGGCGUUCUUUCCCGCCCCGGCGUCGGACGCAUUGGCUGGACUGGGUUGCGGCUGAGCCCUGGCUCCUGGCUGAGCGCUUCGCUCCCAUCUCGCUGUAGUGAGAAGACCCCAGAAAUGGAAACUUUCUCUGUUGCCCUGGCUGGAGAAUGGUGUAAUCAUAGAUCAUUGCAUCCUCAAACUCCUGGGUCAAGCAAUCCUGCCUCAGCCUCCCAAUUAGCUGUGACUACAGUGAAAUCCUACUGUCCAACAUGCUGUAUUAGGCAGUGAGGCUUUAGGGAACUGGAGAUCUUAUGAAUGGGAUCAGUGUCCGUAUAUAAAAGGAACUGCAGAGAGCUCUCUAGCUCUCUUUCUGCCAACAUAAAAUCAGCUGUCUGCAACCUGGAAGAGGGCCCUCACCAGAACCUGUCUGUGCUGGACCCUGAUCGUGGACCUCUCGCCUUCAUAACUGUGAAAAAUAAGUGUCUGUUGUUUAUACCACUUAGUUUAUGAUAAUUUGUUUGCCCAAAUUUAUUAAGACAUAUGCCUUGGCAUAGGUUUUUUUUGCAGUUUUUGGCUGGGGCUGGGUUUGAACUCACCACCUCCGGCAUAUGGGGCCAGUGCCCUACUCCUCUGAGCCACAGGCGCUGCCCAGGUUUUUUUUUUUUUUAAUUUCUCCUGCUUGUGGUUUAUUGAGCUCUUUGGAAAUGUAGGUAUAUAGUUUUCAUUAGAUUUGGGAAAUUUUCAGCCAUUAUUUCCUGAAAAACGAUUUUUUUUUUUUUUUUUGAGACAGAAUGUCACUCUGUCAUUUUGGCUAGAGUGCAGAAACACAUGGGCUCAAGCUAUCUUCCUGACUCAGCCUACAGAGUAGCUGGAACUACAGGUCCCUGUCACCAUGCCCAGCUAAUUUUCCUGUUUUUAGUAGAGAUGUGGUCUCGCUCUUGCUCAAGCUGGUUUCAGACUCCAGAGCUCAAGCAAUCCUCCUGUGGCCCCCUAGAGUGCUAGUGAUACAGGACAAGUGGUAUCCCAGCCAGCUUGUGGAGCUGGCGGGCACGGACCGGCUGCCUCCACCUUGGCGGCAUUGGUGCGGUGGCAGCGAGCAGAGG